AUUAAGUUAAGUUAAGUUUAAACUGUUAGGUUGUGGCGCUAAAAAUAAAUCAAGAUUUACUUAAUA
rnacentral:tRNA from 1 species